UACAGAGGUCUCAAGCGUUGUUCGGAUUCAUUGGGCGUAAAGAGCGUGUAGGUGGCUCGGUAAGUCCGCUGUGAAAGUCCAGGGCUCAACCCUGGAAUGCCGGUGGAAACUGUCGAGCUCGAGUCCGGAAGAGGCGAGUGGAAUUCCUGGUGUAGCGGUGAAAUGCGCAGAUAUCAGGAGGAACACCACUGGCGAAGGCAGCUCGCUGGGACGGUACUGACACUGAGACGCGAAAGCGUGGGGAGCAAACAGG
rnacentral:rRNA from 1 species